GUGCAGCAGUCGAGAAUUUUUCUCAAUGGGGGAAACCCUGAAGGAGCGACGCCGCGUGGAGGAUGAAGGCUUUCGGGUUGUAAACUCCUGUCAUUUGAGAACAAGUGGCCGAACGUAACUACUUCAGCCUUGAUAGUAUCAGAAGAGGAAGGGACGGCUAACUCUGUGCCAGCAGCCGCGGUAAUACAGAGGUCUCAAGCGUUGUUCGGAUUCAUUGGGCGUAAAGGGUGCGUAGGUGGCGCCGUAAGUCGGGUGUGAAAUUUCGGAGCUUAACUCCGAAACUGCAUUCGAUACUGCGGUGCUUGAGGACUGGAGAGGAGACUGGAAUUUACGGUGUAGCAGUGAAAUGCGUAGAGAUCGUAAGGAAGACCAGUGGCGAAGGCGGGUCUCUGGACAGUUCCUGACACUGAGGCACGAAGGCCAGGGGAGCAAACGGGAUUAGAUACCCGCGUAGU
rnacentral:rRNA from 1 species